GGAGAGAUGGCUGAGUGGACGAAAGCGGCCGCCUCGAAAGCGGUUAUUGUGGUUGUACUGCAAUCGGGGGUUCGAAUCCCCCUCUCUCUA
rnacentral:tRNA from 1 species